UGCGGUGAUGAUUGCUUUCUUACUUUCUGACACCUCUUGUACGAGAAGCGCCUCCUCAUUCUCAUCCUCGGGAUGAGAUGAGGAGCGCUUCGCUGAGCAGAUUGCAGCAACUUUCUGAGCU